rnacentral:rRNA from 1 species
CCUACGGGUGACUGCAGUGGGGAAUAUUGGGCAAUGGGCGCAAGCCUGACCCAGCAACGCCGCGUGAAUGAAGAAGGCCCUCGGGUUGUAAAGUUCUUUUGUCAGGGACGAAGGUAGUGACGGUACUUGACGCAUAAGCCACGGUUAACUACGUGCCAGCAGCCGCGGUAAUACGUAGGGGGCAAGCGUUAACCGGAUUUACUGGGUGUAAAGGGCGUGAAGGCGGGACUUCAAGUCAGAUGUGAAAGUCCAGGGCUCAACCCUGGAACUGCAUUUGAAACUGUAGUUCUUGAGUGAUGGAGAGGGAGGCGGAAUUCCGGGUGUAGCGGUGAAAUGCGUAGAGAUACGGAGGAACACCAGUGGCGAAGGCGGCCUGCUGGACAUUAACUGACGCUGAGGCGCGAAAGCGUGGGGAGCAAACAGGAUUAGAUACCCGAGUAGUC